ACAUAGGAGGUUUGUAUCACAACACAACUGCCUUAAAGAUUGGUUCAAUUUUCAAUAAUCCUGCAUUUGCCGAUGGGGAAAAGAAUCUUUGUGAAGGAAAAUGUUGUAUCUUACAGCUACUGAACUGAAGUAAAUAAGAUGGAGAUGGGGUGUUGUACUCUUUGAAGAUAACUGAUUGCUGUUCAGUGACAAGACUCAUUCAUCAUUUCCACUUUCCACUGCAAGCUGCUCAUGGAAUCCCACAUUGACCAGCUAUACAGAGGGUCAAGAGGAGUUCCUGGAUCAGUGUUAGUACUUGAAGAAUGUGUGUGAACAGAAGAUCAUACUUCAGGGACAAGAGGCUUUGCAGAGGAAUCUACUUAUGGUACCUUGGAGAGCUGGACAAUCCUCAAUAGCAUGAAGUUCAACAAAGGAAAAUGCCAGGUUCAGCACAGGAAUGGAGUUAUGCCAGACACAGAUUGCUGGAGAGUGGAGAUUGGAAUGCACUUUGUGAUGUGAUUUCUGCAAGUAACUAUUGGAGAAGCAGCCCAUCAGCUCAUAUCAGAUGACUUUGUGGAUCAUCAUCAGACAUGUCUUGUUUUUUUUUGUGUCCAGGCACCAGUAACCGGAGACACUGGGAUCUGGGGUCAGCUGCUGGGCAGCCUGCCUGAACCCAUGUGCUGGAGGGAUCCAUCUUGUACAUAACCAUUUAUAAUUCCCAGGAGAGGACCUCCCUCAUGCCCAGCCAGAGAGGAGAGAGGAGAGCAGGAAGAGAUUGUUGGUGCUGCAUAGAUGCGAGUGCUCUCGGUGUCUAUCAUCUGUGUAGUCUAUCAUGUAUCUGUGUAUAUAUAUUUAUGUGCCAUAUAUGGUUGUGCUGUGUGUGCAUGUACUCCCUGGAAAUGUAUUUUCAGCAUUGUUACAGGUUGGACCUGGGGUCAUGAAGCUAUAGAAACCUUGCCUGUCUUGGUCAUUAAAUAUUUUAACAGUACACUGAUAGAAUGUUUGUAAAGUUACGCUCUUACAGCCAAAUCAAAAAGAGGUAAUCAUGACUCAGAUUGCCAACGUCCCAUUUCCUAGUACCAGUGUUCCAGUUUCCUGGAUUAUUACCUGCUUAAAGAAGGAUGUGAAAGUUCCUUUUCUGAUGGAUAUUUUGACCUUUUCAAAAAAGAGGAGCACCAAUUGUUUACUGAGCUUUGUUAAUCAGAAAGGGCAUAGUUUCAAUCCAAGUCCUGGAUCAACAUUGCUAUAGGUUUUCUAGGAAGUUGUUAAAGGAUGAAUGUACUGUACAGUGGGAAUGUAAGUUGUUAUUGUCUGCUGAAACAGACAGGGGAUGUGUUCUUAAAAAGGCUUUCCAGAUAUGUGGUAUAUUCAGAGAUGUUUUGGUGCUUUGUUCUUUUGCAAAUUAUGAGCACUCAGGGUUGGGAAAAUAAUGUACUGCAAUGGAUAGUUCCUUGGGGCAGGAUUUGGCAGCUUAAGUGGAGGCUGAUAGGCAGAAUCUCUUAGUUUGUAAAACAACCUCAGCAUAAGCUUGGAACAAUUUUUUAUGUAUCAUCCUGUCAGUAAAGCCUUUGUUUUUUUGCCAUCAA